rnacentral:rRNA from 1 species
CCUACGGGUGGCUGCAGUGAGGAAUAUUGGUCAAUGGACGAGAGUCUGAACCAGCCAAGUAGCGUGAAGGAUGACUGCGCAAUGGGUUGUAGACUUCUUUUAUCUGGGGAUAAAACAGGGGAUGCAUACCGUCUUGUAUGUACCAUAUGAAUAAGGAUCGGCUAACUCCGUGCCAGCAGCCGCGGUAAUACGGAGGAUCGUAGCGUUAUCCGGAUUUAUUGGGUUUAAAGGGAGCGGAGGUGGAUUGUUAAGUCAGUUGUGAAAGUUCGGGGCUCAACCGUAACAUAGCAGUUGAAACUGGCAGUCUUGAGUACAGUAGAGGCGUGCGGAAUGCGCGGUGUAGCGGUGAAAUGCUUAGAUAUCGCGCAGAACCCCGAUUGCGAAGGCAGCUCACCGGGCUGCCACUGACACUGAGGCUCGAAAGUGUGGGUAUCAAACAGGAUUAGAGACCCUGGUAGUC